rnacentral:rRNA from 1 species
AGUAGUCAUAUCUUGUCUUCAAAGAUUAAGCCAUGCAUGUUGUAAGUAUAGAACUAAUUCAGACUGUGAAACUGCGAAUUGGGCUCAUUAGAAUUCAUUAUAGUUUGUUUGAUGGUAUCUGCUACUCGGAUAACCGUUAGUAAUUCUAUGAGCUAAUACGUUGCAACAAACCCCGAGCUUCUGGAAGGAUGCAUUUAUUAGAUAAAAGUGUCGACGCGGGCCUCUGCCCGUUGCUCUGAUGAUUCCAUGAUUAACUUCGACGGAUCGCACGCGCAUCGUGCGCGGACGCAAUCAUUCAAAUUUCUGCCCUAUAACUUUCGAUGGUAAGGAUAGAGGCCUACCAUGUGUGGUUUUGACGGUGACGGAGAAUUAGGGUUCGAUUCCGGAGAGGGAGCUGAGAAACGGCUACAAACCAAGGAAGGCACAGGCGGCAAAUUACCCAAUCUGACACCGGGGAGGGUAGUGACAAUAAAUAAGCAAAUACCGGGGCUCUUUCGAGUCCUGGUAAUUGGAAAUGAGUACAAUUCUAAAUCCCCUUAACGAGGAUCCAUUGGAGGCAAGUCUGGUGCCAGCAGCCAGGGUACAUUUCGCAGCCUCCAAUAGCGUAUAUUUAAGUUGUUGCAGUUAAAAGCUCGUAGUUGGACCUUGGGUUGGUCGACCGGUCCGCUCGGGUGUGCACCUGUCGGGCUUCGUCCCUUUUGCCGGCGAUCGCUUCCUGGCCUUAACGUGGCCGGUGUCGUGUUUCCUCCCGGCGCUGUUACUGUUGAAGAAAUUAGAGUGCUCAAAGCAAAGCCUAAAACGCCUCUGGAUAACAUUAGCAUGGGAUAAACAUCAUAGGGAUUUCGGUCCUAUUGUGUUGGCCUUCGGGAUCGGAGUAAAUGAUUAACAGGGGACAUCGGCGGGCAUUCGUAUUUUCAUAGUCAGGAGGUGAAAUUCUUUUUGGAUUUGAUGAAAAGACGAACAACUGCGAAAGCAUUUGCCAGGAUGUUUUCAUUUAAAGUGCAAGAACGAUAAUGUUGGGGCUCGAAGCACGAUCGAUACCGUCCUAGUCUCAACCAUAAACGAUGCCGACCAGGGAUCGGCGGAUGUUGCUUUUAGGACUAUUCCGCGGAGAGAGAAAUCAAGUCUUUGGUUCGCGGGGGGAGUAAUGGUCCCCGCAGAGGCCUGAAACUUAUAAAGGAAUGUGAAGGAAGGGCACACACCAAGGAGUGGAGCCUGCGGCUUAUUUGACUCAAACACGGGGAAAACUUACCAGGUCCAGAACCAUAGGUAAGGAUGACAGACUGAGAGCUCUUUCUUGAUUUCUAUGGGUGGUGGUGCAUGUGCGUUUUAAGUUGGUGGAUGAUUGGCUGAUUUGGUCUGUUAAUUCGGUUAACGGAAGCGAGACCCUCAGCCCUGCUAACUAGCUAUGCCGGAGGUGCCCUCCCGCGGCCAGCUUCUUAGAGGGACUAGGCCUUUUAGCCAAGAAGUUUGAGGCAAUAACAGGUCUGUGAUGGCCCUUAGAUGUUCUGGGGCCCGCACGCAGCGCACACUGAUGUAUUCCAAUCGAAGUCUAUAGCCUUGGCCGACUAGGCCGGGUAAUCUUUGAAAAUUUCAUCGUGAAUGUGGGAUAGAUCAGUUGCAAUUGUUGGUCCUUUCAACGAGGAAUUUCCUAGUAAAGCGCGAGUCAUCAGCUCGCGUUGCACUACGUCUCCUGCCCUUUGUACACACGCGCCGUCGUCCUACGAUUGAAUGGUCCGGUGAAGUGUCGGAUCGCGGCGACGUGGGCGUUCCGCCGCCGUUCGACGGUUUUCGCGAAGAAGUACGCUGAACUUAAUCAUGUUAGAGGAAGGAGAAGUCGUAAAAGGUUUCCGUAGGUGAAUCCUGCGGAAG